rnacentral:rRNA from 1 species
UCGACGAUCUUAUAGAGGGACUAUCGGCGUUUAGCCGAUGAUAGUUGAGCCAAUCACAGUCUGUGAUGCCCAUAGAUGUCUGGGCGGCACGCGCGCUACACUGAUGAAGUCAUCGAGUACAUAUCCUUUACCGGUAGUAUGGGUGAUCUUUUGAGACUUCAUCGAGAUGGGGAUAGAGCAUUGCGAUUAUUGCUCUUCAACGGGGAAUCCCUAGUAAGCGUGAGUCAUCAGCUCACGCUGAUUACGUCCCUGCCCUUUGUACACACCGCCCGUCGCUACUACCGAUUGAAUGGCUUAGUGAGACCCUCGGAUCGACUCAUGGAAACCUUCACGGGUAUCUAUUUGUUGAAAAGUUGGUCAAACUUGGUCAUUUAGAGGAAGUAAAAGUCGUAACCAAGGUUUCCCGUAGGUGAAACCUGCGGAAAGGAUCAUUA